rnacentral:rRNA from 1 species
AUUGAACGCUGGCGGCAUGCUUUACACAUGCAAGUCGAACGGCAGCGCGGGGGCAACCCUGGCGGCGAGUGGCGAACGGGUGAGUAAUGCAUCGGAACGUAUCCUGUAAAUGGGGGAUAACGUAGCGAAAGUUACGCUAAUACCGCAUACGCUCGAGAGAGGAAAGUGGGGAUCGCAAGACCUCACGUUAUAGGAGCGGCCGAUGUCCGAUUAGCUAGUUGGUGGGUAACGCCUACCAAGGCGACGAUCGGUAGCUGGUCUGAGAGGAUAGAUCAGCCACACUGGGACUGAGACACGGCCCAGACUCCUACGGGAGGCAGCAGUGGGGAAUUUUGGACAAUGGGCGAAAGCCUGAUCCAGCCAUGCCGCGUGCCGGGAAGAA